AUGAGUGACAAACAAAAGGGGCUAAUAGGAGCAGUUAAUGAAGCAUUUCUAGAUUCUGAACAUAGAUAUUGUGUCAGACAUUUGUACCAGAACAUGAACCAGCUACACAAGGGAGAAGUGGUGAAAAAUCACUUAUGGAAGUGUGCAAGGUCAAGCAAUCAAACAAAAUGGAGGGCCAACAUGGAUGCAUUCAAGGUUGAUUGUCCAGAUGCUUAUGCAUGGUUAGAAGAAAAGCCUCCCAAUGAAUGGUGUAGAGCAUUUUUCAAUGACUUUGUGAAGUGUGAUGUUCUGACAAACAAUAGUUGUGAAGUAUUUAACAGGUGGAUAUUAGAGGCCAGGGAAUUGCCUAUUCUGUCCAUGUUAGAGCACAUAGCUUGUAAAAUUGGCAACAGAUAUUACAACAAGCAAAGAGAGGCCACAGAGUAG
rnacentral:rRNA from 1 species